AAUGUCCCAUUGCAGUGUCCCCACUGUCCCCGCUGUCACAAGGUGAAGAUCCCAUCCUGAUGUCCCCAAUGUCCCACUGCAGUGUCCCCAGUGUCCCACUGCAGUGUCCCCGCUGUCCCCGCUGUCACAAGGUGAAGAUCUCGUCCUGGGUGUCCCCAAAGUCCCAUUUCAGUGUCCCCAAUGUCCUGCUGUCCCCAGUGUCCCACUGCAGUGUCCCCGCUGUCCCCGCUGUCACAAGGUGAAGAUCUCGUCCUGGGUGUCCCCAAUGUCCUGCUGUCCCCGCUGUCCCCGCUGUCCCCGCUGUCACAAGGUGAAGAUCUCGUCCUGGGUGUCCCCAAUGUCCUGCUGUCCCCAAUGUCCUGCUGUCCCCAAUGUCCUGCUGUCCCCGCUGUCCCCGCUCUCCCUGCUGUCACAAGGUGAAGAUCUCGUGCUGGGUGUCCCCAAUGUCCUGCUGUCCCCAAUGUCCUGCUGUCCCCAAUGUCAUGUCCCUGCUGUCCCCGCUGUCACAAGGUGAAGAUCUCGUCCUGGGUGUCCCCAAUGUCCUGCUGUCCCCAAUGUCCUGCUGUCCCCGCUGUCCCCGCUCUCCCUGCUGUCACAAGGUGAAGAUCUCGUGCUGGGUGUCCCCAAUGUCCUGCUGUCCCCAAUGUCCUGCUGUCCCCAAUGUCAUGUCCCUGCUGUCCCCGCUGUCACAAGGUGAAGAUCUCAUCCUGGGUGUCCCCAAUGUCCUGCUGUCCCCAAUGUCCUGCUGUCCCCAAUGUCCCCGCUGUCCCCGCUGUCCCCGCUGUCCCCGCUGUCACAAGGUGAAGAUCUCAUCCUGGUGUCCCCAAUGUCCU